GCCUGAUGAACAAAGCGCAGGGUCCCUGUGCAGCGACAUGGCGUGAUGAGGGGAUUUUCAUCAUCUCCCUCGCAGUGACAGAUCCUGACAGGAAGGACAAGCAAGACUUUCUACCUGUUGAUUUUGUGAGCACUCCGCUACCUGAAUAUUUCAGAAUAUGCGAAUCUGAAGAAAGACUUAGCACAGAUCAUGAAUCAAUUAGGUGCAAGGACCUGUUCUGAAAAAGAGAAACUACAGCCUACAGUGAAUUGAUAGUAAAAACAACUAUAUUAACACUGGUUGUUCAAAGAGCAUCUCCACUGAUAGUGAGCCUAGGGGCUCACACUUGUCAAAGGCUUUCAACUUCCCUCAGUUAAACAUGUUUGCCUAAAAAGUCUGCAUGCACAU